GCGUAGCCCGACUUGAAGAGGGUGAUCGGCCACACUGGAACUGAGACACGGUCCAGACUCCUACGGGAGGCAGCAGUAGGGAAUCUUCCACAAUGGGUGCAAACCUGAUGGAGCAAUGCCGCGUGAGUGAAGAAGGACUUCGGUUCGUAAAGCUCUGUUGUUGGGGAAGGACACGGAUAGGAGUCACUGCCUAUCCCUUGACGGUACCCAACCAGAAAGUCACGGCUAACUACGUGCCAGCAGCCGCGGUAAUACGUAGGUGACAAGCGUUGUCCGGAUUUAUUGGGCGUAAAGCGAGCGCAGGCGGUCCGGUAAGUCUGAUGUGAAAGCCCACGGCUCAACCGUGGAACGGCAUUGGAAACUGGCGGACUUGAAUGUAGCAGAGGAAAGUGGAAUUCCAUGUGUAGCGGUGGAAUGCGUAGAUAUAUGGAGGAACACCAGUGGCGAAAGCGACUUUCUGGGCUAUGAUUGACGCUGAGGCUCGAAAGCGUGGGGAGCGAACAGGAUUAGAUACUCUGGUAGUCCACGCCGUAAACGAUGAGUGCUAAGUGUUGGAGGUUUC
rnacentral:rRNA from 1 species